rnacentral:rRNA from 1 species
GAAGGUGGCAAGCGUUAUUCGGAUUUACUGGGCAUAAAGCGCGCGUAGGCGGCUUGGCAAGUCGGGGGUGAAAGCCCGCAGCUCAACUGCGGAACUGCCUUCGAUACUGCCGGGCUUGAGGGCGGGAGGGGUGAUUGGAACUCCAGGUGUAGCGGUGAAAUGCGUAGAUAUCUGGAGGAACACCGGAGGCGAAGGCGAAUCACUGGACCGCUUCUGACGCUGAGGCGCGAAAGCUAGGGGAGCAAACAGGAUUAGAUACCCUGGUAGUCCUAGCUGUAAACGAUGGGCACUAGGCAGUGGAGGUCCGAUGCCGUCACUGUCGGAGUAAAUAUGUUAAGUGCCCCGCCUGGGGAGUACGGCCGCAAGGCUGAA